rfam:Desulfotomaculum ferrireducens strain GSS09, complete genome.
GGGGGCAUAGCUCAGCUGGGAGAGCACCUGCCUUGCAAGCAGGGGGUCAGCGGUUCGAUUCCGCUUGUCUCCA